rnacentral:antisense_RNA from 1 species
CGGCGCUUGAGGCUUCUGCCUCAUGUUGUCGGCAGCAGUACUGAAGUUUGUGAGGCAGAAAGCAGAAAAGCCCCGAAAGUUAAUUUUCAUUAACCCCCGAGGCCCCUGCAUGCACAAGAACAUCAGGAUAGCCUCUUACCCGCCGCAAGGCAAGGAGAAGAAGGCCAUG